GGACAGAUGCCCGAGCGGUUAAGGGGACGGUCUCAAGAUCCGUUGCGUAAGCGCGUGAGUUCGAAUCUCACUCUGUUCA
rnacentral:tRNA from 21 species